rnacentral:rRNA from 1 species
GACGAACGCUGGCGGCGUGCUUAACACAUGCAAGUCGAACGGAAAGGCCCUGCUUUUGUGGGGUGCUCGAGUGGCGAACGGGUGAGUAACACGUGAGUAACCUGCCCUUGACUUUGGGAUAACUUCAGGAAACUGGGGCUAAUACCGGAUAGGAGCUCCUGCUGCAUGGUGGGGGUUGGAAAGUUUCGGCGGUUGGGGAUGGACUCGCGGCUUAUCAGCUUGUUGGUGGGGUAGUGGCUUACCAAGGCUUUGACGGGUAGCCGGCCUGAGAGGGUUACCGGCGACAUGGGGACUGAGAUACGGCCCAGACGCCUACGGGAGGCAGCAGUGGGGAAUAUUGCACAAUGGGCGGAAGCCUGAUGCAGCAACGCCGCGUGCGGGAUGACGGCCUUCGGGUUGUAAACCGCUUUCGCCUGUGACGAAGCGUGAGUGACGGUAAUGGGUAAAGAAGCACCGGCUAACUACGUG